rnacentral:sRNA from 1 species
GCCAGGUGUGGUGGUGCAUGCCUGUAAUCCCAGUGGCUCAGGAGGCUAAAUCAGGAGGAUCAUGAGUUCAAAGAUGGCUCAGCAACAUCAAGAUGCUUAGCAACUCAGUGAGACCCUGUCUCUC